rnacentral:rRNA from 1 species
CGUGUAGGCGGUUAGGCAAGUCAGGUGUGAAAUCCCUUGGCUCAACCAAGGAAGUGCGCUUGAAACCGCUUAACUCGAGUACAGGAGGGGAAAGUGGAAUUCCCAGUGUAGAGGUGAAAUUCAUAGAUAUUGGGAGGAACACCGGUAGCGAAGGCGGCUUUCUGGCCUGAUACUGACGCUGAGACGCGAAAGCGUGGGGAGCAAACA